rnacentral:tRNA from 1 species
AAUAAAAUGGCUGAGUUAAAUAAGCGAUAAAUUGUAAAUUUAUUUACGGGAAAAAUAAUUCUCUUUUAUUA